AACGAACGCUGGCGGCAUGCCUAACACAUGCAAGUCGAACGAGACCUUCGGGUCUAGUGGCGCACGGGUGCGUAACGCGUGGGAAUCUGCCCUUGGGUUCGGAAUAACAGUGAGAAAUUACUGCUAAUACCGGAUGAUGACGAAAGUCCAAAGAUUUAUCGCCUAAGGAUGAGCCCGCGUAGGAUUAGCUAGUUGGUAAG
rnacentral:rRNA from 1 species